rnacentral:rRNA from 1 species
AUAUCAAUAAGCGGAGGAAAAGAAACCAACAGGGAUUGCCCUAGUAACGGCGAGUGAAGCGGCAACAGCUCAAAUUUGAAAUCUGGCUCUCGGGUCCGAGUUGUAAUUUGUAGGGGAUACUUUUGAUGCGGUGCCUUCCGAGUUCCCUGGAACGGGACGCCAUAGAGGGUGAGAGCCCCGUCUGGUUGGAUGCCAAAUCUCUGUAAAGUUCCUUCAACGAGUCGAGUAGUUUGGGAAUGCUGCUCUAAAUGGGAGGUAUAUGUCUUCUAAAGCUAAAUACCGGCCAGAGACCGAUAGCGCACAAGUAGAGUGAUCGAAAGAUGAAAAGCACUUUGAAAAGAGAGUUAAAAAGUACGUGAAAUUGUUGAAAGGGAAGCGUUUAUGACCAGACUUGGGCUUGGUUAAUCAUCUGGGGUUCUCCCCAGUGCACUUUUCCAGUCCAGGCCAGCAUCAGUUUUCCCCGGGGGAUAAAGGCGGCGGGAAUGUGGCUCUCUUCGGGGAGUGUUAUAGCCCACCGUGUAAUACCCUGGGGGGGACUGAGGUUCGCGCAUCUGCAAGGAUGCUGGCGUAAUGGUCAUCAACG